ensembl:snoRNA SNORA71 Small nucleolar RNA SNORA71
UCCUGCAUCCCGAAAGUGAUCACAGGCCACCCAUGCCCUGGUCAUUGAUACUGCAGGGAGAGGAAUGCUGAAAGAUUUCCCCAUGUUUGGAGGGUCCAGCUGUCCCUUCCCAACCCUGGAGCUUUCCCACA